UCAGGACGAACGCUGGCGGCGUGCCUAAUACAUGCAAGUCGAGCGGACCUCUUCGGAGGUCAGCGGCGGACGGGUGAGUAACACGUGGGCAACCUGCCUGUAAGACUGGGAUAACUCCGGGAAACCGGAGCUAAUACCGGAUACUAUGUCAAACCGCAUGGUUUGACAUUCAAAGACGGUUUCGGCUGUCACUUACAGAUGGGCCCGCGGCGCAUUAGCUAGUUGGUGAGGUAAUGGCUCACCAAGGCAACGAUGCGUAGCCGACCUGAGAGGGUGAUCGGCCACACUGGGACUGAGACACGGCCCAGACUCCUACGGGAGGCAGCAGUAGGGAAUCUUCCGCAAUGGACGAAAGUCUGACGGAGCAACGCCGCGUGAGUGAUGAAGGUUUUCGGAUCGUAAAACUCUGUUGUCAGGGAAGAACAAGUGCCGGAGUAACUGCCGG
rnacentral:rRNA from 2 species